rnacentral:rRNA from 1 species
UAGGGAAUCUUCCGCAAUGGACGCAAGUCUGACGGAGCAACGCCGCGUGAGUGAAGAAGGAUUUCGGUUCGUAAAACUCUGUUGUUAUAGAAGAACAGCGCAUAGAGUAACUGUUAUGCGUGUGACGGUAUCUAACCAGAAAGCCACGGCUAACUACGUGCCAGCAGCCGCGGUAAUACGUAGGUGGCAAGCGUUGUCCGGAUUUAUUGGGCGUAAAGCGAGCGCAGGCGGUCAAUUAAGUCUGAUGUGAAAGCCCCCGGCUCAACCGGGGAGGGUCAUUGGAAACUGGUUGACUUGAGUGCAGAAGAGGAGAGUGGAAUUCCAUGUGUAGCGGUGAAAUGCGUAGAUAUAUGGAGGAACUCCAGUGGCGAAGGCGACUCUCUGGUCUGUAACUGACGCUGAGGCUCGAAAGCGUGGGUAGCAAACAGG